rnacentral:rRNA from 1 species
GGGGAUAUUGGGCAAUGGGCGCAAGCCUGACCCAGCAACGCCGCGUGAAGGAAGAAGGCUUUCGGGUUGUAAACUUCUUUUAAGAGGGAAGAGAAGAAGACGGUACCUCAUGAAUAAGCCACGGCUAACUAC